GAUGAACGCUGGCGGCGUGCCUAAUACAUGCAAGUCGAGCGAACGGACGAGAAGCUUGCUUCUCUGAUGUUAGCGGCGGACGGGUGAGUAACACGUGGAUAACCUACCUAUAAGACUGGGAUAACUUCGGGAAACCGGAGCUAAUACCGGAUAAUAUUUUGAACCGCAUGGUUCAAAAGUGAAAGACGGUCUUGCUGUCACUUAUAGAUGGAUCCGCGCUGCAUUAGCUAGUUGGUAAGGUAACGGCUUACCAAGGCAACGAUGCAUAGCCGACCUGAGAGGGUGAUGCGCCACACGGGAAAUGAGACACGGCCCAGACCCCCAGGGGGGGCAGGAGGGGGGAAUUUCCCGAAAGGGGCGAAAGCGUGACGGAGCAACCCCGGGGGGGGGAUGAAGGUCUUCGGAUCGUAAAACUUUUUUAUUAGGGAAAAAAAAUUGUGAAAGUAACUGUGCACAUUUUGAGGGGACCUAACAAAAAAGCCACGGUAAAUUCCGG
rnacentral:rRNA from 1 species